AUACCUUUCUCGGCCUUUUGGCUAAGAUCAAGUGUAGUAUCUGUUCUUAUCAGUUUAAUAUCUGAUAUGUGGACCAUGUGUCCACAACGAUAUUAAAUUUAUUUUUCAUGGGGGAGAGCCCACCAUGGUAGCUUGCUGCCAGGGCUCUCAUGUGUCGCCCAGGCGUUGCACUACUGCCUGGGCCUGGCAAACCCCAA
rfam:Triticum urartu cultivar G1812 contig1065513, whole genome shotgun sequence.